rnacentral:rRNA from 1 species
GACGGAGGAUGCAAGCGUUAUCCGGAAUGAUUGGGCGUAAAGCGUCCGCAGGUGGCAGUUCAAGUCUGCUGUCAAAGACCGGGGCUUAACUUCGGAAAGGCAGUGGAAACUGAACAGCUAGAGUAUGGUAGGGGCAGAGGGAAUUCCUGGUGUAGCGGUGAAAUGCGUAGAUAUCAGGAGGAACACCUGCGGUGUAGACGGCUUUCUGGACCAUUACUGACACUGAGACACGAAAGCGUGGGUAGCAAACAGG